rnacentral:lncRNA from 1 species
CGACACUCUACUGGAUCGCUCAGCGUUGACGCUCAAGCCUCCUGCCGUAUUGAAUUAAAGUUCUCAACGCUCAGCAGUGGAUUCUGGCGCUCAGCGGUGGCAACGAUUCUUCAUUCACCCCUCAGCGCUGGCGCUUAAGCGUUUUGCCGUAUUGAAGUCCACAAUGCUGACGCUCAGCAUUGGAAUCGGCGAUGAGAGGUGGGAGCAAUUCCUCUUUUGCACCUUUCUUCAUCC